CACGGGGGGAGCAAGCGUUGUUCGGAAUCACUGGGCGUAAAGGGCGUGUAGGCGGUUCAGUAAGUGGAAUGUGAAAUGCCCCGGCUCACCCGGGGACCGGCAUCCCAAACUGCUGAGCUUGAGUAUGGGAGAGGAUGUGGGAAUUCCUGGUGUAGCGGUGAAAUGCGUAGAUAUCAGGAGGAACACCGGUGGCGAAGGCGCACAUCUGGCCCAAUACUGACGCUGAGGCGCGAAAGCUAGGGGAGCAAACGGGAUUAGAUACCCCGGUAGUCCUAGCCGUAAACGGUGAUCACUAGGUGUUGGAGGCAUCGACCCCUCCAGUGCCGCAGCUAACGCAUUAAGUGAUCCGCCUGGGGAGUACGGCCGCAAGGUUGAA
rnacentral:rRNA from 1 species